AUUUGAAUAAUUUAAAAUAAAAUAUUGAUUUGUGGAGUCAAAAAUAUGAAUAAUUUCAUUUCAAAUC
rnacentral:tRNA from 1 species